AACGAACGCUGGCGGCAGGCCUAACACAUGCAAGUCGAACGCUGUAGCAAUACAGAGUGGCAGACGGGUGAGUAACGCGUGGGAACAUGCCCUUCGGUUCGGAAUAACUCAGGGAAACUUGAGCUAAUACCGGAUACGCCCUUAGGGGGAAAGAUUUAUUGCCGAAGGAUGGGCCCGCGUCCGAUUAGCUAGUUGGUGAGGUAACGGCUCACCAAGGCGACGAUCGGUAGCUGGUCUGAGAGGAUGAUCAGCCACACUGGGACUGAGACACGGCCCAGACUCCUACGGGAGGCAGCAGUGGGGAAUAUUGGACAAUGGGCGCAAGCCUGAUCCAGCCAUGCCGCGUGAGUGAUGAAGGCCCUAGGGUUGUAAAGCUCUUUCGCCAGGGACGAUAAUGACGGUACCUGGAUAAGAAGCCCCGGCUAACUUCGUGCCAGCCGCCGCGGUAAGAC
rnacentral:rRNA from 1 species